GGUAUAAAAAACAAGCUUAUUGCCAGGGCCCACACCAGACUAACCAACAGCUGGGUUGCCCUCCAUAGAGGACAGAUUUGUGCAACACUUCUGAGAUAUUGGAUAGUAAGGGACGCUUCACUAACAUAUGGCUACCUUGCUUCCUCUCAAGACUUGUCACAGCUAUUAGUUAUCUGCACAUAUUGGUACCACAACAUUGGAAGCUCACUAAUGAUCAAAAACUUGGCUGCAGAAGGAUGAACAGAAUGGCCAAAGCAAGCUGGGAAAAACGAAAUGGUUGAAUUGUCUUUCUUUGGGGUAAAUGCAUUAGCUGCAGCAUGAUUAGACACAGCUACUUUUUCCAGGACUCAACUCAGAGAAAACUAGUUUUGCAAGUUGGCAACAAGAAGCUGUAUGUAAUACUGCCUAAAUAAAUGAAAGAUUAAUCUUU